AACGCUAGCUACAGGCUUAACACAUGCAAGUCGAGGGGAAACGACAUCGAAAGCUUGCUUUUGAUGGGCGUCGACCGGCGCACGGGUGAGUAACGCGUAUCCAACCUGCCCACCACUUGGGGAUAACCUUGCGAAAGUAAGACUAAUACCCGAUGAUAUCCCUAGAAGACAUCUGAAAGGGAUUAAAGAUUUAUCGGUGAUGGAUGGGGAUGCGUCUGAUUAGCUUGUUGGCGGGGUAACGGCCCACCAAGGCGACGAUCAGUAGGGGUUCUGAGAGGAAGGUCCCCCACAUUGGAACUGAGACACGGUCCAAACUCCUACGGGAGGCAGCAGUGAGGAAUAUUGGUCAAUGGGCGAGAGCCUGAACCAGCCAAGUAGCGUGCAGGACGACGGCCCUAUGGGUUGUAAACUGCUUUUAUAAGGGAAUAAAGUGGGUCUCGUGAGACUUUUUGCAUGUACCUUAUGAAUAAGGACCGGCUAAUUCCGUGCCAGCAGCCGCGGUAAUACGGAAGGUCCGGGCGUUAUCCGGAUUUAUUGGGUUUAAAGGGAGCGUAGGCCGGAGAUUAAGCGUGUUGUGAAAUGUAGUGGCUCAACCUCUGCACUGCAGCGCGAACUGGUCUUCUUGAGUACGCACAACGUGGGCGGAAUUCGUGGUGUAGCGGUGAAAUGCUUAGAUAUCACGAAGAACUCCGAUUG
rnacentral:rRNA from 1 species